rnacentral:lncRNA from 1 species
AAGUAGAUGUAGUGGUGAACCUUUUUUUUUUCGAUGAAGUCUUUGGCUCGUUGUUUCCGAAAAUGGAACUGACCUGAUGACCUGAUUUGUGUAGAGUCAGGAUAUGGGAGCAGAUGUCCGACAUGAUGUAAACGCAAACUUAGAGUCGAGGAAACGUGCGCCCUCCUCGAAGCCACCGUUCACCCUCGGCGAUGUAAAGCGCGCCAUCCCUCCUCACUGUUUCAAACGUUCCGUCCUGCGGUCCUUCUCAUACAUCCUAUACGAUGUCACAGCCAUUGCAGUUCUCUAUCAUGUCACUUCCUAUUACGCACUGCUACCUCUGCCCCUCAGGUACCUCGUCUGGCCACUGCACUGGUUCGUGCAGGGCUGCUUCAUGGUCGGCCUGUGGGUAGUAGCCCACGAGUGUGGUCACCACGCCUUUUCCGACUACGCAGCCCUCGACGACACCGUGGGCUUCAUCCUCCACUCUGCCUUGCUCGUACCCUACUUCUCGUGGAAGUUCUCCCACGCCCGGCACCACUCCAACACAGCCUCCUUGGAGCGCGACGAGGUCUUCGUGCCGAAAAAACGCCUCGACGUGAGCUGGUGGGACCGGGUGACCGACAACCCUCCCGGUCGUAUACUCCGAUUGACCUUGACCUUACUCCUCGGCCUAACCAUGUACCUGACCUUCAACUCAGCCGGACGCCCUUACGAGCGCUUCGCAUCCCACUUCCACCCGGACAGCCCGAUUUACUCGCGAUCCAAACGCAUUUGGAUAUUCCUCUCGGAUGUUGGUAUUGCGGUGGUAUGUUACGGAUUGUACCAUCUGGCGCUAUCGCGAGGGAUUGCAUGGUUAGCGUGCUAUUACUUCUGCCCUCUCGCAGUGACCAACGCGUUUGUUGUUACCGUGACCUUGUUGCAACAUACUCACCCCUCACUACCGCAUUACUCGUCCGCUGAAUGGGAUUGGUUGCGCGGAGCCUUGUCGACAGUUGACAGAGAUUAUGGUGUCCUCAACCAUAUUUUCCACCAUAUCAAUGACACGCAUAUUGCACACCAUUUGUUUUCGACUAUGCCACACUACCACGCCCAAGAGGCGACGGCGGCCAUAAAGCCUGUGUUGGGGGAAUAUUAUCAGUUUGAUGAUACGCCGGUGUUGAAAUCCCUGUACAGGGAGAUGAAAGAGUGCGUGUUCGUGGAGCCUGAAGGGGAAAAGCUAGGAGUGUACUGGUUCAAUGGUGUGUUGUGA